rnacentral:rRNA from 1 species
AGCCAAACAGCUAGCCCGCCCCAUUACCAUCAUCAUAAACACAUAAUUACACCCUAAGUUACUAAUAAACAACCAAUAAACCAUUCUUCCCCUUUAGUAUGGGAGACAGAAAAAGAACAAGGCGCAAUAGAGAAAGUACCGCAAGGGAACGCUGAAAGAGAAGUGAAACAAACCAGUAAAGCACCGAAAAGCAAAGAUUAAAACUUGUACCUUUUGCAUCAUGAAUUAGCCAGUAAUCCUUAAGCAAAAUGAAUUUUAGUUUAACCUCCCGAAACUAGGUGAGCUACUUCAAGGCAGCCUGAUAAUAGGGCAAACCCUUCUCUGUGGCAAAAGAGUGGGAAGAACUUUGAGUAGCGGUGAAAAGCCUCCCGAACCUAGUAAUAGCUGGUUGCCUGAGAAAUGAAUAGAAGUUCAGCCUCCUCCCUUCUUUCCCCUAUUAUGGAAGUACCUUAACCAGAGAAAAAGAAAGGAAGAGAGUUAGUCAAAGAAGGGACAGCUUCUUUGAAAAAAGACACAACUUUUUUAGGAGGGUAAAAAUCAAACUAAAUUAAGGCCUUAUGUUCAGGUGGGCCUAAAAGCAGCCACCCUAGAAGAAAGCGUUAUAGCUCGAACAUUAUAUCUUCCUUUAAUACUGAUAAACUAAUUUUACACCCCUUAUUCUAACAGGCCCUUCUAUAAAUAAUUAUAGAAGAGAUAAUGCUAAUAUGAGUAAUAAGAGAUGAAGAUUCUCUCCAAGCAUAAGUGUAAAUCAGAACAGACAUUCUACCGAAAAUUAACGGCCCCAAACGAAGAGGGCAUUGGAAAAACAAACAGAUAACUAGAAGACCUUCGUUCAACAAGGGUUAAGACUACCAGCAUAGAAGGCCAACCUGGAAAGACCUAAAGGAGAAGAAGGAACUCGGCAAACAUAUUUCGGCCUCGCCUGUUUACCAAAAACACCGCCUCUUGCUAAAAAAGUAUAAGAGGUCCCGCCUGCCCUGUGACAAAUAGUUUAACGGCCGCGGUAUCUUGACCGUGCGAAGGUAGCGCAAUCACUUGUUUCUUAAAUGGAGACCUGUAUGAAUGGCAUAACGAGGGCCAACCUGUCUCCUUCUCCCAGUCAAUGAAAUUGAUCUCCCCGUGCAGAAGCGGGGAUGAACACAUAAGACGAGAAGACCCUUUGGAGCUUUAGACUGCAAGCAGACCAUGCUAAUUAGACCUAAUCAAAGGAACUAAGCCAAUUGGACAUCUGCCCUAAUGUCUUCGGUUGGGGCGACCACGGGGAAACAAAAAACCCCAAUGAGUAGCAGGAGAACUUUUCUCCCAGAACUAAGACCGACAGGUCUAAGUACCAGAAAUUCUGACCAAAAGAUCCGGCCAAGCCGAUCAACGAACCAAGUUACCCUAGGGAUAACAGCGCAAUCCCCUUUUAGAGCCCAUAUCGACAAGGGGGUUUACGACCUCGAUGUUGGAUCAGGACAUCCUAAUGGUGCAGCCGCUAUUAAGGGUUCGUUUGUUCAACGAUUAAAGUCCUACGUGAUCUGAGUUCAGACCGGAGUAAUCCAGGUCAGUUUCUAUCUAUGAAAUGUUCUCUUCUAGUACGAAAGGACCGAAGAGAAGAGGCCCAUUCUUCAAGAAUGCCUCCCCCUCACCUAAUGAAAACAACUAAAAUAGGCAAAAGGACAUAUCCUUAGGCCGUAAAGAACGGCAC